AGCCGUGGCAAAGGACUCGGUGAAGAUUCUGCGUUGAUGAUGAUGGCAUUUGCUGUUAACAAAUAUAAAAUUCAGACCUUCCGAGCUAAAAUUGGCGAAUCAAACAUUGCUUCACUUAAGCUCUUCCAUAAGCUGGGUUUUAAAGAUGUUUCUUACAGUGAAGCCUUUAAGGAGGUUACACUUGAGUUGCGAGUGACGGACCGUUCAUUUGUAGAUUUGAUAGCCUAACUGGUGAAUGUUUCUAACCCUGCUGCAUUAACAAGUAUUUACUUCUGAACCUUCCUUUCUUCCUCGUUAACCAUUUUUAUUUAACACCGUUAACAGGGUUUUACUAUUGCAGAUGAUGUAAUAUUUAUAAUAAUGAUGGAAUAUAAAAUAUAAAUAUGUUAUAAAAAUUUAUUCAAUGCUAUUUCUUAUUUU